CAUGAAGUCGGAAUUGCUAGUAAUCGCGGAUCAGCAUGCCGCGGUGAAUACGUUCCCGGGCCUUGUACACACCGCCCGUCACACCAUGAGAGUCGGGGACACCCGAAGCCUGUAGCAUAACCGCGAGGGGUGCGCAGUCGAAGGUGGAUUCGAUGAUUGGGGUGAAGUCGUAACAAGGUAUC
rnacentral:rRNA from 1 species